AAGCAUCUUCGGAUGUGUAUAAAGUGGCGAACGGCUGAGUAACACGUGGGCAACCUGCCCUUUGCACUGGGAUAGCCUCGGGAAACCGAGGUUAAUACCGGAUACUCCAUAUUUGUCGCAUGGCGAAUAUGGGAAAGCUCCGGCGGCAAAGGAUGGGCCCGCGGCCUGUUAGCUAGUUGGUGGGGUAGUGGCCUACCAAGGCAAUGAUGGGUAGCCGGGUUGAGAGACCGACCGGCCAGAUUGGGACUGAGACACGGCCCAGACUCCUACGGGAGGCAGCAGUGGGGAAUCUUGCACAAUGGGCGAAAGCCUGAUGCAGCGACGCCGCGUGCGGGAUGAAGGCCUUCGGGUUGUAAACCGCCUUCAGCAGGGACGAGGCCGCAAGGUGACGGUACC
rnacentral:rRNA from 1 species